rnacentral:rRNA from 1 species
CCAAGGGUUAGGUGGGUUGUAAAGCAUGCUGGAGGUAUCACAAGAGCGAAUGCUGACGUGAGUAACGACAAUGCGAGUGAAAAACUCGCACGCCGAAAGACCAAGGUUUCCUGCGCAACGUUAAUCGACGCAGGGUUAGUCGGUCCCUAAGGCGAGGCUGAAAAGCGUAGUCGAUGGAAAACAGGUUAAUAUUCCUGUACUGAUAAUAACUGCGAUGUGGUGACGGAGAAGGCUAUACCAGAACACAGACGGUGUUGUAUGCAAUCAGUUAGGCAGAGCACUUAGGCAAAUCCGGGUGCUUAAUGCUGAGCUGAGAUGCCGACGGUUAUUGCAACUGGAGUGGUAGAUGCCAUGCUUCCAAGAAAAGCUGCUAAGCUUAGGUUAUUAUCAACCGUACCCCAAACCGACACAGGUGGGAAGGAUGAGAAUUCUAAGGCGCUUGAGAGAACUCGGGUGAAGGAACUCGGCAAAAUGGUACCGUAACUUCGGGAGAAGGUACGCCUCUGCUGGUUAAUAGCUGGCGGAGGCCGCAGAGACCAGGUGGCUGCGACUGUUUAUCAAAAACAUAGCACUCUGCAAACACGUAAGUGGAAGUAUAGGGUGUGACCCCUGCCCGGUGCCGGAAGGUUAAUUGAUGGGGUUAGUUUUCGGACGAAGCUCUUGAUCGAAGCCCCGGUGAACGGCGGCCGUAACUAUAACGGUCCUAAGGUAGCGAAAUUCCUUGUCGGGUAAGUUCCGACCUGCACGAAUGGCGUAACGAUGGCCACACUGUCUCCACCCGAGACUCAGUGAAAUUGAAAUCGCUGUUAAGAUGCAGUGUAUCCGCGGCUAGACGGAAAGACCCCGUGAACCUUUACUACAGCUUCACAGUGGACCUUGAUAUGACUUGUGUAGGAUAGCUGGGAGGCUAUGAAACCCGGACGCCAGUCUGGGUGGAGCCAAUCUUGAAAUACCAGCCUGGUCAUGUUGGGGUUCUAACCUGGCGCCAUAAUCUGGCGUGGGGACAUUGUGUGGUGGGUAGUUUGACUGGGGCGGUCUCCUCCCAAAGAGUAACGGAGGAGCACGAAGGUACUCUCGGCAUGGUCGGAAAUCAUGCUAUGAGUGUAAAGGCAUAAGAGUGCUUGACUGCGAGAUUGACGAAUCGAGCAGGUGGGAAACCAGGUCUUAGUGAUCCGGUGGCACUGCAUGGU